AGAGCAGCCUAGAUGAUCGCCCCGAAGUCUAUCUCUUUGGGGAGGAAAGUCCGAGCUCCAAAGGAUAUGCAUCCCGAUAAUGCGGGACACCUUGGCAUCUGUCGAGGGAGGAUUAGAGCCACAGUGACGAUGCCUUUGCCUUUGGCAAAGGAGUGAAACGCGCAAUCUCUGCAUGGAGCAAGGCCAAAUAGGGGGAGACGCUGCCUUUAACAGCAGCGACGAAGUGGUCCGCUUCGUCAUCAUUUCCGGGUAGGCCGCAAGAGUCAAGGGAGUAAUUCCUUGAGUUAGUCAAAUGAUCAUUGACCUCGCCCAUAAAAAAUCGAGGGAAACAGAACUCGGCUUAUGGGCUGCUCUUUUG
rnacentral:RNase_P_RNA from 1 species